rnacentral:tRNA from 1 species
CUGAGUGGUAAGAUAAUAAAGNCCUGCCUGUCACGCAGGAGGUCGCGGGUUCGAGUCCCGUCCGGACCG